rnacentral:lncRNA from 1 species
ACAAUCAGGAAGCCCGUAAACCCCAAAUAUUUUUUUUUUCAUUUUCCAUUUUUUUUUUGGUCUAACUAACUCCAAAAGGUUGGAAAAGAGUUCCUACAAAGGUUUUGGACAGUGAUUUUAACCCUAACGCCAAAAAACUUAAACCUUACCAUAGCCCCAUAACCUAAUACCCGGGUAUUACUUUUAGGAAGCCUGAACACCCCAAAUAUUUUUUUUUCAUUUUUCUUUUUUUUUUUGGUCUAACUAACUCCAAAAGGUUGAAAAAGAGUUCCUACAAAGGUUUUGGACAGUGAUUUUAAACCUAACGCCAAAACGUUAAACCUUACCAUAGCCCCAUAACCUAAUACGUAUUACUUUUGGGAAGCCUGAACACCCCAAAUAUUUUUUUUUCAUUUUUCUUUUUUUUUUUUUUGGUCUAACUAACUCCAAAAGGUUGGAAAAGAGUUCCUACAAAGGUUUUGGACAGUGAUUUUAACCCUAACGCCAAAAAACUUAAACCUUCCCAUAGCCACAAAACCUAAUACCUGGGUAUUACUUUUAGGAAGCCUGAAAACCCCCAAUAAUAUUUUUUUCUUUUUUCAUAUUUUUUGGUCUAACUAACUCCAAAAGGUUGGAAAAGAGUUCCUACAAAGGUUUUGGACAGUGAUUUUAACCCUAAUGCCAAACCCUUAAACCUUUCCCUAGUCCCAAAACCUAAUACCCGGGUAUUACUUUCAGGGAGCCCGAAAAACCCCCAAUAAUAUUUUUUUCUUUUUUCAUAUUUUUUGGUCUAACUAACUCCAAAAGGUUGGAAAAGAGUUCCUACAAAGGUUUUGGACAGUGAUUUUAACCCUAACGCCAAAAACCUUAAACCUUACCCUAGCCUUGAAAUCUAAUACCCGGGUAUUACCUUCAGGAAGCCUGAACACCCCAAAUAUUUUUUUCUUCAUUUUACAUUUUUUUUGGUCUAACUAAAUCCAAAAGGUUGUUAAAGAGUUCCUACAAAGGUUUUGGACAGUGAUUUUAAACCUAACGCCAAAAAACUUAAACCUUACCCUAGCCCCAAAACCUAAUACCCGGGUAUUACUUUCAGGGAGCCCGAAAACCCCCAAUAAUAUUUUUUUCUUUUUUCAUACUUUUUGGUGUAACUAACUCCAAAAGGUUGGAAAAGAGUUCCUACAAAGGUUUUGGACAGUGAUUUUAACCCUAAUGCCAAAAAACUUAAACCUUACCCUAGCCUCAAAAUCUAAUACCCGGGUAUUACAUUCAGGAACCCCGAAAACCCCAAAUAUUGUUUUUUAAUUUUUCAUUUUUUUUUGGUCUAACUAACUCCAAAAGGUUGGAAAAGAGUUCCUACAAAGGUUUUGGACAGUGAUUUUAACCCUAACGCCAAAAAACUUAAACCUUACCAUAGCCCCAAAACCUAAUACCCGGGUAUUACUUUCAGGGAGCCCGAAAACCCCCAAUAAUAUUUUUUUCUUUUUUCAUACUUUUUGGUCUAACUAACUCCAAAAGGUUGGAAAAGAGUUCCUACAAAGGUUUUGGACAGUGAUUUGAACCCUAAUGCCAAAAAACUUAAACCUUACCCUAGCCUUAAAAUCUAAUACCCGGGUAUUACAUUCAGGAACCCCGAAAACCCCAAAUAUUGUUUUUUCAUUUUUCAUUUUUUUUUUGGUCUAACUAACUCCAAAAGGUUGGAAAAGAGUUCCUACAAAGGUUUUGGACAGUGAUUUUAACCCUAACGCCAAAAAACUUAAACCUUACCAUAGCCCCAAAACCUAAUACCCGGGUAUUACUUUCAGGGAGCCCGAAAACCCCCAAUAAUAUUUUUUUCUUUUUUCAUAUUUUUUGUUCUAACUAACUCCAAAAGGUUGGAAAAGAGUUCCUACAAAGGUUUUGGACAGUGAUUUUAACCCUAACGCCAAAAAACUUAAACCUUACCAUAGCCCCAAAACCUAAUACCCGGGUAUUACUUUCAGGAAGCCCGGAAACCCCAAAUAUAUAUUUUUUCAUUUUUCAUAUUUUUUUGGUUUAUCUAAUUCCAAAAGGUUGGAAAAGUGUUCCUACAAAGGUUUUGGACAGGGAUUUUAACCCUUAUGCCAAAAACCUUAAACCUUUCCCCAGUCCCAAAACCUAAUACCUGGGUAUUACCUUCAGGAAGCCCGAAAACCCCCAAUAAUAUUUUUUUCUUUUUUCAUAUUUUUUGGUCUAACUAACUCCAAAAGGUUGGAAAAGAGUUCCUACAAAGGUUUUGGACAGUGAUUUUAACCCUAACGCCAAAAAACUUAAACCUUACCAUAGCCCCAAAACCUAAUACCCGGGUAUUACUUUCAGGGAGCCCGAAAACCCCCAAUAAUAUUUUUUUCUUUUUUCAUAUUUUUUGGUCUAACUAACUCCAAAAGGUUGGAAAAGAGUUCCUACAAAGGUUUUGGACAGUGAUUUUAACCCUAACGCCAAAAAACUUAAACCUUUCCCUGGCCUUAAAAUCUAAUACCCGGGUAUUACAUUCAGGAAGCCCGUAAACCCCAAAUAUUUUUUUUUUCAUUUUUCAUAUUUUUUUGGUCUAACUAACUCCAAAAGGUUGAAAAGAGUUCCUACAAAGGUUUUGGACAGUGAUUUUAACCCUAACGCCAAAAACCUUAAACCUUACCAUAGCCCCAUAACCUAAUACCCAGGUAUUACUUUUAGGAAGCCUGAACACCCAAAAUAUAUUUUUUUCAUUUUUCAUUUUUUUUGGUCUAACUAACUCCAAAAGGUUGGAAAAGAGUUCCUACAAAGGUUUUGGACAGUGAUUUUAACCCUAACGCCAAAACGUUAAACCUUACCAUAGCCCCAUAACCUAAUACCCGGGUAUUACUUUCAGGAAGCCUGAACACCCCAAAUAUUUUUUUUUCUUUUUUCAUACUUUUUGGUCUAACUAACUCCAAAAGGUUGGAAAAGAGUUCCUACAAAGGUUUUGGACAGUGAUUUUAACCCUAACGCCAAAAAACUUAAACCUUACCCUAGCCUUAAAAUCCUAAUACCAGGGUAUUACAUUCAGGAAGCCCGAAAACCCCAAAUAUUUUUUUUCAUUUUUCUUUUUUUUUUUGGUCUAACUAACUCCAAAAGGUUGGAAAAGAGUUCCUACAAAGGUUUUGGACAGUGAUUUUAACCCUAACGCCAAAAAACUUAAACCUUACCAUAGCCCCAAAACCUAAUACCCGGGUAUUACUUUCAGGAAGCCCGAAAACCCCCAAUAAUAUUUUUUUCUUUUUUCAUAUUUUUUGGUCUAACUAACUCCAAAAGGUUGGAAAAGAGUUCCUACAAAGGUUUUGGACAGUGAUUUUAACCCUAACGCCAAAAAACUUAAACCUUUCCCUAGCCUUAAAAUCUAAUACCCGGGUAUUACAUUCAGGAAGCCCGUAUACCCCAAAUAUUUUUUUUUUCAUUUUUCAUUUUUUUUUCUGGUCUAACUAACUCCAAAAGGUUGAAUAAGAGUUCCUACAAAGGUUUUGGACAGUGAUUUUAAACCUAACGCCAAAACGUUAAACCUUACCAUAGCCCCAUAACCUAAUACCCGGGUAUUACUUUUAGGAAGCCUGAACACCCCAAAUAUUUUUUUUUCAUUUUUCUUUUUUUUUUGGUCUAACUAACUCCAAAAGGUUGGAAAAGAGUUCCUACAAAGGUUUUGGACAGUGAUUUUAACCCUAAUGCCAAAACCCUUAAACCUUUCCCUAGUCCCAAAACCUAAUACACGGGUAUUACUUUCAGGAGCCCAAAAACCCCCAAUAAUAUUUUUUUCUUUUUUCAUAUUUUUUGGUCUAACUAACUCCAAAAGGUUGGAAAAGAGUUCCUACAAAGGUUUUGGACAGUGAUUUUAACCCUAACGCCAAAAACCUUAAACCUUACCCUAGCCUUGAAAUCUAAUACCCGGGUAUUACCUUCAGGAAGCCUGAACACCCCAAAUAUUUUUUUCUUCAUUUUACAUUUUUGUUGGUCUAACUAACUCCAAAAGGUUGGAAAAGAGUUCCUACAAAGGUUUUGGACAGUGAUUUUAACCCUAACGCCAAAAAACUUAAACCUUACCCUAGCCCCAAAACCUAAUACCCGGGUAUUACUUUCAGGGAGCCCGAAAACCCCCAAUAAUAUUUUUUUCUUUUUUCAUACUUUUUGGUCUAACUAACUCCAAAAGGUUGGAAAAGAGUUCCUACAAAGGUUUUGGACAGUGAUUUUAACCCUAACGCCAAAAAACUUAAACCUUACCCUAGCCUUGAAAUCUAAUACCCGGGUAUUACAUUCAGGAACCCCGAAAACCCCAAAUAUUGUUUUUUCAUUUUUCAUUUUUUUUUGGUCUAACUAACUCCAAAAGGUUGGAAAAGAGUUCCUACAAAGGUUUUGGACAGUGAUUUUAACCCUAACGCCAAAAAACUUAAACCUUACCAUAGCCCCAAAACCUAAUACCCGGGUAUUACUUUCAGGAAGCCCGGAAAACCCCAAAUAUAUAUUUUUUCAUUUUUCAUAUUUUUUGGUCUAACUAACUCCAAAAGGUUGGAAAAGAGUUCCUACAAAGGUUUUGGACAGUGAUUUUAACCCUAACGCCAAAAACCUUAAACCUUUCCCCAGUCCCAAAACCUAAUACCUGGGUAUUACCUUCAGGAAGCCCUGAAACCCCCAAUAAUAUUUUUUUCUUUUUUCAUAUUUUUUGGUCUAACUAACUCCAAAAGGUUGGAAAAGAGUUCCUACAAAGGUUUUGGACAGUGAUUUUAACCCUAACGCCAAAAAACUUAAACCUUACCAUAGCCCCAAAACCUAAUACCCGGGUAUUACUUUCAGGGAGCCCGAAAACCCCCAAUAAUAUUUUUUUUUCUUUUUUCAUACUUUUUGGUCUAACUAACUCCAAAAGGUUGGAAAAGAGUUCCUACAAAGGUUUUGGACAGUGAUUUUAACCCUAACGCAAAAAAACUUAAACCUUUCCCUGGCCUUAAAAUCUAAUACCCGGGUAUUACAUUCAGGAAGCCCGUAAACCCCAAAUAUUUUUUUUUUCAUUUUUCAUUUUUUUUUGGUCUAACUAACUCCAAAAGGUUGGAAAAGAGUUCCUACAAAGGUUUUGGACAGUGAUUUUAACCCUAACGCCAAAAACCUUAAACCUUACCAUAGGCCCAUAACCUAAUACCCGGGUAUUACUUUUAGGAAGCCUGAACACCCCAAAUAUAUUUUUUUAAUUUUUCAUUUUUUUUGGUCUAACUAAAUCCAAAAGGUUUUUAAAGAGUUCCUACAAAGGUUUUGGACAGUGAUUUUAAACCUAACGCCAAAAACUUUAAACCUUACCAUAGCCCCAUAACCUAAUACCCGGGUAUUACUUUUAGGAAGCCCGAACACCCCAAAUAUUUUUUUUUUCAUUUUUCAUAUUUUUUGGUCUAACUAACUCCAAAAGGUUGGAAAAGAGUUCCUACAAAGGUUUUGGACAGUGAUUUUAACCCUAACGCCAAAAAACUUAAACCUUACCCUGGCCUUAAAAUCUAAUACCCGGGUAUUACAUUCAGGAAGCCCGUAAACCCCAAAUAUUUUUUUUUCAUUUUUCAUUUUUUUUGGUCUAACUAACUCCAAAAGGUUGGAAAAGAGUUCCUACAAAGGUUUUGGACAGUGAUUUUAACCCUAACGCCAAAAACCUUAAACCUUACCAUAGCCCCAUAACCUAAUACCCGGGUAUUACUUUUAGGAAGCCUGAACACCCCAAAUAUUUUUUUUUCAUUUUUCUUUUUUUUUUGGUCUAACUAACUCCAAAAGGUUGGAAAAGAGUUCCUACAAAGGUUUUGGACAGUGAUUUUAACCCUAACGCCAAAAAACUUAAACCUUACCAUAGCCCCAAAACCUAAUACCCGGGUAUUACUUUCAGGAAGCCCGAAAACCCCCAAUAAUAUCUUUUUCUUUUUUCAUAUUUUUUGGUCUAACUAACUCCAAAAGGUUGGAAAAGAGUUCCUACAAAGGUUUUGGACAGUGAUUUUAACCCUAACGCCAAAAAACUUAAACCUUUCCCUGGCCUUAAAAUCUAAUACCCGGGUAUUACAUUCAGGAAGCCCGAAAACCCCAAAUAUUUUUUUUUCAUUUUUCAUUUUUUUUUUGGUCUAACUAACUCCAAAAGGUUGAAAAAGAGUUCCUACAAAGGUUUUGGACAGUGAUUUUAAACCUAACGCCAAAACGUUAAACCUUACCAUAGCCCCAUAACCUAAUACCCGGGUAUUACUUUUAGGAAGCCUGAACACCCCAAAUAUUUUUUUUUCAUUUUUCUUUUUUUUUUUUGGUCUAACUAACUCCAAAAGGUUGGAAAAGAGUUCCUACAAAGGUUUUGGACAGUGAUUUUAACCCUAAUGCCAAAACCCUUAAACCUUUCCCUAGUCCCAAAACCUAAUACAUGGGUAUUACUUUCAGGGAGCCCAAAAACCCCCAAUAAUAUUUUUUUCUUUUUUCAUAUUUUUUGGUCUAACUAACUCCAAAAGGUUGGAAAAGAGUUCCUACAAAGGUUUUGGACAGUGAUUUUAACCCUAACGCCAAAAACCUUAAACCUUACCCUAGCCUUGAAAUCUAAUACCCGGGUAUUACCUUCAGGAAGCCUGAACACCCCAAAUAUUUUUUUUUCAUUUUUCUUUUUUUUUUUGGUCUAACUAACUCCAAAAGGUUGGAAAAGAGUUCCUACAAAGGUUUUGGACAGUGAUUUUAACCCUAACGCCAAAAAACUUAAACCUUACCCUAGCCCCAAAACCUAAUACCCGGGUAUUACUUUCAGGGAGCCCGAAAACCCCCAAUAAUAUUUUUUUCUUUUUUCAUAUUUUUUGGUCUAACUAACUCCAAAAGGUUGGAAAAGAGUUCCUACAAAGGUUUUGGACAGUGAUUUUAACCCUAACGCCAAAAAACUUAAACCUUACCCUAGCCUUAAAAUCUAAUACCCGGGUAUUACAUUCAGGAAGCCCGAAAACCCCAAAUAUUGUUUUUUCAUUUUUCAUUUUUUUUUGGUCUAACUCCAAAAGGUUGGAAAAGAGUUCCUACAAAGGUUUUGGACAGUGAUUUUAACCCUAACGCCAAAAAACUUAAACCUUACCAUAGCCCCAAAACCUAAUACCCGGGUAUUACUUUCAGGGAGCCCGAAAACCCCCAAUAAUAUUUUUUUCUUUUUUCAUAUUUUUUGGUCUAACUAACUCCAAAAGGUUGGAAAAGAGUUCCUACAAAGGUUUUGGACAGUGAUUUUAACCCUAACGCCAAAAAACUUAAACCUUACCAUAGCCCCAAAACCUAAUACCCGGGUAUUACUUUCAGGGAGCCCGAAAACCCCCAAUAAUAUUUUUUCUUUUUUCAUAUUUUUUGGUCUAACUAACUCCAAAAGGUUGGAAAAGAGUUCCUACAAAGGUUUUGGACAGUGAUUUUAACCCUAACGCCAAAAAACUUAAACCUUUCCCUGGCCUUAAAAUCUAAUACCCGGGUAUUACAUUCAGGAAGCCCGUAAACCCCAAAUAUUUUUUUUUUCAUUUUUCUUUUUUUUUUUUUGGUCUAACUAACUCCAAAAGGUUGAAAAAGAGUUCCUACAAAGGUUUUGGACAGUGAUUUUAACCCUAACGCCAAAAACCUUAAACCUUACCAUAGCCCCAUAACCUAAUACCCGGGUAUUACUUUUAGGAAGCCUGAACACCCCAAAUAUAUUUUUUUUAAUUUUUCAUUUUUUUUUGGUCUAACUAACUCCAAAAGGUUGUUAAAGAGUUCCUACAAAGGUUUUGGACAGUGAUUUUAAACCUAACGCCAAAACGUUAAACCUUACCAUAGCCCCAUAACCUAAUACCCGGGUAUUACUUUUAGGAAGCCUGAACACCCCAAAUAUUUUUUUUUCAUUUUUCUUUUUUUUUUGGUCUAACUAACUCCAAAAGGUUGGAAAAGAGUUCCUACAAAGGUUUUGGACAGUGAUUUUAACCCUAACGCCAAAAAACUUAAACCUUACCAUAGCCCCAUAACCUAAUACCCGGGUAUUACUUUCAGGGAGCCCGAAAACCCCCAAUAAUAUUUUUUUCUUUUUUCAUAUUUUUUGGUCUAACUAACUCCAAAAGGUUGGAAAAGAGUUCCUACAAAGGUUUUGGACAGUGAUUUUAACCCUAACGCCAAAAAACUUAAACCUUACCAUAGCCCCAAAACCUAAUACCCGGGUAUUACUUUCAGGAACCCCGAAAACCCCCAAUAAUAUUUUUUUCUUUUUUCAUAUUUUUUGGUCUAACUAACUCCAAAAGGUUGGAAAAGAGUUCCUACAAAGGUUUUGGACAGUGAUUUUAACCCUAACGCCAAAAAACUUAAACCUUACCAUAGCCCCAUAACCUAAUACCCGGGUAUUACUUUUAGGAAGCCUGAACACCCCAAAUAUUUUUUUUUCAUUUUUCUUUUUUUUUUUUGGUCUAACUAACUCCAAAAGGUUGGAAAAGAGUUCCUACAAAGGUUUUGGACAGUGAUUUUAACCCUAACGCCAAAAAACUUAAACCUUACCAUAGCCCCAUAACCUAAUACCCGGGUAUUACUUUCAGGGAGCCCGAAAACCCCCAAUAAUAUUUUUUUCUUUUUUCAUACUUUUUGGUGUAACUAACUCCAAAAGGUUGGAAAAGAGUUCCUACAAAGGUUUUGGACAGUGAUUUUAACCCUGAUGCCAAAAAACUUAAACCUUACCCUAGCCUUAAAAUCUAAUACCCGGGUAUUACAUUCAGGAACCCCGAAAACCCCAAAUAUUGUUUUUUCAUUUUUCAUUUUUUUUUUGGUCUAACUAACUCCAAAAGGUUGGAAAAGAGUUCCUACAAAGGUUUUGGACAGUGAUUUUAACCCUAACGCCAAAAAACUUAAACCUUACCCUAGCCUUAAAACCUAAUACCUGGGUAUUACAUUCAGGAACCCCGAAAACCCCAAAUAUUGUUUUUUCAUUUUUCAUUUUUUUUUGGUCUAACUAACUCCAAAAGGUUGGAAAAGUGUUCCUACAAAGGUUUUGGACAGGGAUUUUAACCCUUAUGCCAAAAACCUUAAACCUUUCCCCAGUCCCAAAACCUAAUACCUGGGUAUUACCUUCAGGAAGCCCGAAAACCCCCAAUAAUAUUUUUUUCUUUUUUCAUAUUUUUUGGUCUAACUAACUCCAAAAGGUUGGAAAAGAGUUCCUACAAAGGUUUUGGACAGUGAUUUUAACCCUAACGCCAAAAAACUUAAACCUUACCAUAGCCCCAAAACCUAAUACCCGGGUAUUACUUUCAGGGAGCCCGAAAACCCCCAAUAAUAUUUUUUUCUUUUUUCAUACUUUUUGGUCUAACUAACUCCAAAAGGUUGGAAAAGAGUUCCUACAAAGGUUUUGGACAGUGAUUUUAACCCUAACGCCAAAAAACUUAAACCUUUCCCUGGCCUUAAAAUCUAAUACCCGGGUAUUACUUUCAGGAAGCCCGAAAACCCCAAAUAUUUUUUUUUUCAUUUUUCAUAUUUUUUUUGGUCUAACUAACUCCAAAAGGUUGGAAAAGAGUUCCUACAAAGGUUUUGGACAGUGAUUUUAACCCUAACGCCAAAAACCUUAAACCUUACCAUAGCCCCAUAACCUAAUACCCGGGUAUUACUUUUAGGAAGCCUGAACACCCCAAAUAUAUUUUUUUUCAUUUUUCAUUUUUUUUGGUCUAACUAACUCCAAAAGGUUGGAAAAGAGUUCCUACAAAGGUUUUGGACAGUGAUUUUAACCCUAACGCCAAAAAACUUAAACCUUACCAUAGCCCCAUAACCUAAUACCCGGGUAUUACUUUUAGGAAGCCUGAACACCCCAAAUAUUUUUUUUUCAUUUUUCAUAUUUUUUGGUCUAACUAACUCCAAAAGGUUGGAAAAGAGUUCCUACAAAGGUUUUGGACAGUGAUUUUAACCCUAACGCCAAAAAACUUAAACCUUACCCUGGCCUUAAAAUCUAAUACCCGGGUAUUACAUUCAGGAAGCCCGAAAACCCCAAAUAUUUUUUUUUUCAUUUUUCAUUUUUUUUUGGUCUAACUAACUCCAAAAGGUUGGAAAAGAGUUCCUACAAAGGUUUUGGACAGUGAUUUUAACCCUAACGCCAAAAACCUUAAACCUUACCAUAGCCCCAUAACCUAAUACCCGGGUAUUACUUUUAGGAAGCCUGAACACCCCAAAUAUUUUUUUUUCAUUUUUCUUUUUUUUUUGGUCUAACUAACUCCAAAAGGUUGGAAAAGAGUUCCUACAAAGGUUUUGGACAGUGAUUUUAACCCUAACGCCAAAAAACUUAAACCUUACCAUAGCCCCAAAACCUAAUACCCGGGUAUUACUUUCAGGGAGCCCGAAAACCCCCAAUAAUAUUUUUUUCUUUUUUCAUAUUUUUUGGUCUAACUAACUCCAAAAGGUUGGAAAAGAGUUCCUACAAAGGUUUUGGACAGUGAUUUUAAACCUAACGCCAAAACUUAAAACCUUACCAUAGCCCCAUAACCUAAUACCCGGGUAUUACUUUUAGGAAGCCUGAACACCCCAAAUAUUUUUUUUUUCAUUUUUCUUUUUUUUUGGUCUAACUAACUCCAAAAGGUUGGAAAAGAGUUCCUACAAAGGUUUUGGACAGUGAUUUUAACCCUAACGCCAAAAAACUUAAACCUUUCCCUAGCCUUAAAAUCUAAUACCCGGGUAUUACAUUCAGGAAGCCCGUAAACCCCAAAUAUUUUUUUUUCAUUUUUCAUUUUUUUUUUGGUCUAACUAACUCCAAAAGGUUGAAAAAGAGUUCCUACAAAGGUUUUGGACAGUGAUUUUAACCCUAACGCCAAAAACCUUAAACCUUACCAUAGCCCCAUAACCUAAUACCCGGGUAUUACUUUUAGGAAGCCCGAACAACCAAAAUAUAUAUUUUUUUCAUUUUACAUUUUUGUUGGUGUAACCAACUCCAAAAGGUUGGAAAAGAGUUCCUGCAAAGGUUUUGGACAGUGAUUUUAACCCUAAUGCCAAAAACCUUAAACCUUACCAUAGCCCCAUAACCUAAUACCCGGGUAUUCCCUUCAGGAAGCCCGAAAACCCCAUUUAUAUCUGUUUUCAUUUUACAUUUUUGUUGGUGUAACCAACUCCAAAAGGUUGGAAAAGAGUUCCUACAAAGGUUUUGGACAGUGAUUUUAACCCUAAUACCAAAAACCUUAAACCUUUCCAUAGCCCCAUAAUCUUAUACCCGGGUAUUACUUCUAGGAAGCCUGAACACCCCAAAUAUUUUUUUCUUCAUUUUACAUUUUCUUUGGUCUAACUAACUCCAAAAGGUUUGAAAGAAGUUCCUACAAAGGUUUUGGACAGUGAUUUUAACCCUAACGCCAAAAAACUUGAACCUUACUCUAGCCCCAUAACAUAAUACCCUUGUAUUACCUUCAGGAAGCCCGGAAACCCCAAAUAUUUUUGUUUUCAUUUUUCAUUCUUUUUUUGGUCUAACUAACUCCAAAAGGUUGGAAAAGAGUUCCUACAAAGGUUUUGGACAGUGAUUUUAAACCUAACGCCAAAACCUUAAACCUUACCAUAGCCCCAUAACCUAAUACCCGGGUAUUACUUUUAGGAAGCCUGAACACCCCAAAUAUAUAUUUUUUUCAUUUUACAUUUUUGUUGGUGUAACCAACUCCAAAAGGUUGGAAAAGAGUUCCUACAAAGGUUUUGGACAGUGAUUUUAACCCUAAUGCCAAAAACCUUAAACCUUACCCUAGCCUUAAAAUCUAAUACCCGGGUAUUACCUUCAGGAAGCCCGAACACCCCAAAUAUUUUUUUUUCAUUUUACAUUUUUGUUGGUGUAACCAACUCCAAAAGGUUGGAAAAGAGUUCCUACAAAGGUUUUGGACAGUGAUUUUAACCCUAACGCCAAAAAACUUAAACCUUACCCUAGCCUUAAAAUCUAAUACCCGGGUAUUACAUUCAGGAAGCCCGAAAACCCCAAAUUUAUAUUUUUUCAUUUUUCUUUUUUUUUUGGUUUAACUAACUCCAAAAGGUUGGAAAAGAGUUCCUACAAAGGUUUUGGACAGUGAUUUUAACCCUAACGCCAAAAAACUUAAACCUUACCCUAGCCUUAAUAUCUAAUACCCGGGUAUUACAUUCAGGAAGCCCGAAAACCCCAAAUAUAUAUUUUUUCUUUUUUCAUAUUUUUUGGUCUAACUAACUCCAAAAGGUUGGAAAAGAGUUCCUACAAAGGUUUUGGACAGUGAUUUUAACCCUUAUGCCAAAAAACUUAAACCUUACCCUAGCCACAAAACCUAAUACCUGGGUAUUACUUUUAGGAAGCCUGAACUCCCCAAAUAUUUUUUUUUCAUUUUUCUUUUUUUUUUGGUCAAACUAACUCCAAAAGGUUGGAAAAGAGUUCCUACAAAGGUUUUGGACAGUGAUUUUAACCCUAACGCCAAAAACCUUAAACCUUUCCCCAGUCCCAAAACCUAAUACCUGGGUAUUACCUUCAGGAAGCCCGAAAACCCACAAUAAUAUUUUUUUCUUUUUUCAUAUUUUUUGGUCUAACCAACUCCAAAAGGUUGGAAAAGAGUUCCUACAAAGGUUUUGGACAGUGAUUUUAACCCUAACGCCAAAAAACUUAAACCUUACCCUAGCCUUAAAAUCUAAUACCCGGGUAUUACAUUCAGGAAGCCCGAAAACCCCAAAUUUAUAUUUUUUCAUUUUUCUUUUUUUUUUGGUUUAACUAACUCCAAAAGGUUGGAAAAGAGUUCCUACAAAGGUUUUGGACAGUGAUUUUAACCCUAACGCCAAAAAACUUAAACCUUACCCUAGCCUUAAUAUCUAAUACCCGGGUAUUACAUUCAGGAAGCCCGAAAACCCCAAAUAUAUAUUUUUUCAUUUUUCAUAUUUUUUGGUCUAACUAACUCCAAAAGGUUGGAAAAGAGUUCCUACAAAGGUUUUGGACAGUGAUUUUAACCCUAACGCCAAAAAACUUAAACCUUACCCUAGCCACAAAAACUAAUACCUGGGUAUUACUUUUAGGAAGCCUGAAAACCCCCAAAUAUUUUUUUUCAUUUUUCUUUUUUUUUUUGGUCAAACUAACUCCAAAAGGUUGGAAAAGAGUUCCUACAAAGGUUUUGGACAGUGAUUUUAACCCUAACGCCAAAAACCUUAAACCUUUCCCCAGUCCCAAAACCUAAUACCUGGGUAUUACCUUCAGGAAGCCCGAAAACCCACAAUAAUAUUUUUUUCUUUUUUCAUAUUUUUUGGUCUAACUAACUCCAAAAGGUUGGAAAAGAGUUCCUACAAAGGUUUUGGACAGUGAUUUUAACCCUAACGCCAAAAACCUUAAACCUUACCAUAGCCCCAUAACCUAAUACCCGGGUAUUACUUUUAGGAAGCCUGAACACCCCAAAUAUUUUUUUUUUCAUUUUUCUUUUUUUUUUUGGUCUAACUAACUCCAAAAGGUUGGAAAAGAGUUCCUACAAAGGUUUUGGACAGUGAUUUUAACCCUAAUGCCAAAAAACUUAAACCUUACCCUGGCCUUAAAAUCUAAUACCCGGGUAUUACAUUCAGGAAGCCCGAACACCCCAAAUAUUUUUUUUUUCAUUUUACAUUUUUUUUGGUCUAACUAACUCCAAAAGGUUGGAAAAGAGUUCCUACAAAGGUUUUGGACAGUGAUUUUAACCCUAAUGCCAAAAAACUUAAACCUUACCCUAGCCUUAAAAUCUAAUACCCGGGUAUUACAUUCAGGAAGCCCGUAAACCCCAAAUAUUUUUUUUUCAUUUUUCAUUCUUUUUUUGGUCUAACUAACUCCAAAAGGUUGGAAAAGAGUUCCUACAAAGGUUUUGGACAGUGAUUUUAAACCUAACGCCAAAACGUUAAACCUUACCAUAGCCCCAUAACCUAAUACCCGGGUAUUACUUUUAGGAAGCCUGAACACCCCCAAUAAUAUUUUUUUCUUUUUUCAUAUUUUUUGGUCUUACUAACUCCAAAAGGUUGGAAAAGAGUUCCUACAAAGGUUUUGGACAGUGAUUUUAACCCUAACGCCAAAAAACUUAAACCUUACCAUAGCCCCAAAACCUAAUACCCGGGUAUUACUUUCAGGGAGCCCGAAAACCCCCAAUAAUAUUUUUUUCUUUUUUCAUAUUUUUUGGUCUAACUAACUCCAAAAGGUUGGAAAAGAGUUCCUACAAAGGUUUUGGACAGUGAUUUUAACCCUAACGCCAAAAAACUUAAACCUUUCCCUGGCCUUAAAAUCUAAUACCCGGGUAUUACAUUCAGGAAGCCCGUAAACCCCAAAUAUUUUUUUUUUCAUUUUUCAUUUUUUUUUGGUCUAACUAACUCCAAAAGGUUGGAAAAGAGUUCCUACAAAGGUUUUGGACAGUGAUUUUAACCCUAACGCCAAAAAACUUAAACCUUACCAUAGCCCCAUAACCUAAUACCCGGGUAUUACUUUUAGGAAGCCUGAACACCCCAAAUAUAUUUUUUUUCAUUUUUCUUUUUUUUUUUGGUCUAACUAACUCCAAAAGGUUGGAAAAGAGUUCCUACAAAGGUUUUGGACAGUGAUUUUAACCCUAACGCCAAAAAACUUAAACCUUACCAUAGCCCCAAAACCUAAUACCCGGGUAUUACUUUCAGGGAGCCCGAAAACCCCCAAUAAUAUUUUUUUCUUUUUUCAUAUUUUUUGGUCUAACUAACUCCAAAAGGUUGGAAAAGAGUUCCUACAAAGGUUUUGGACAGUGAUUUUAACCCUAACGCCAAAAAACUUAAACCUUACCAUAGCCCCAAAACCUAAUACCCGGGUAUUACUUUCAGGGAGCCCGAAAACCCCCAAUAAUAUUUUUUUCUUUUUUCAUAUUUUUUGGUCUAACUAACUCCAAAAGGUUGGAAAAGAGUUCCUACAAAGGUUUUGGACAGUGAUUUUAACCCUAACGCCAAAAAACUUAAACCUUUCCCUGGCCUUAAAAUCUAAUACCCGGGUAUUACAUUCAAGAAGCCCGUAAACCCCAAAUAUAUUUUUUUUAAUUUUUCAUUUUUUUUUGGUCUUACUAAAUCCAAAAGGUUGUUAAAGAGUUCCUACAAAGGUUUUGGACAGUGAUUUUAAACGUAACGCCAAAACGUUAAACCUUACCAUAGCCCCAUAACCUAAUACCCGGGUAUUACUUUUAAGAAGCCUGAACACCCCCAAUAAUAUUUUUUUCUUUUUUCAUAUUUUUUGGUCUAACUAACUCCAAAAGGUUGGAAAAGAGUUCCUACAAAGGUUUUGGACAGUGAUUUUAACCCUAACGCCAAAAAACUUAAACCUUACCAUAGCCCCAAAACCUAAUACCCGGGUAUUACUUUCAGGGAGCCCGAAAAACCCCCAAUAAUAUUUUUUUCUUUUUUCAUAUUUUUUGGUCUAACUAACUCCAAAAGGUUGGAAAAGAGUUCCUACAAAGGUUUUGGACAGUGAUUUUAACCCUAACGCCAAAAAACUUAAACCUUACCAUAGCCCCAAAACCUAAUACCCGGGUAUUACUUUCAGGGAGCCCGAAAACCCCCAAUAAUAUUUUUUUCUUUUUUCAUACUUUUUGGUCUAACUAACUCCAAAAGGUUGGAAAAGAGUUCCUACAAAGGUUUUGGACAGUGAUUUUAACCCUAACGCCAAAAAACUUAAACCUUACCCUAGCCUUAAAAUCUAAUACCCGGGUAUUACAUUCAGGAACCCAGAAAACCCCAAAUAUUGUUUUUUCAUUUUUCAUUUUUUUUUGGUCUAACUAACUCCAAAAGGUUGGAAAAGAGUUCCUACAAAGGUUUUGGACAGUGAUUUUAACCCUAACGCCAAAAAACUUAAACCUUACCAUAGCCCCAAAACCUAAUACCCGGGUAUUACAUUCAGGAACCCAGAAAACCCCCAAAUAUUGUUUUUUCAUUUUUCAUUUUUUUUUGGUCUAACUAACUCCAAAAGGUUGGAAAAGAGUUCCUACAAAGGUUUUGGACAGUGAUUUUAACCCUAACGCCAAAAAACUUAAACCUUACCAUAGCCCCAAAACCUAAUACCCGGGUAUUACUUUCAGGGAGCCCGAAAAACCCCCAAUAAUAUUUUUUUCUUUUUUCAUAUUUUUUGGUCUAACUAACUCCAAAAGGUUGGAAAAGAGUUCCUACAAAGGUUUUGGACAGUGAUUUUAACCCUAACGCCAAAAAACUUAAACCUUACCAUAGCCCCAAAACCUAAUACCCGGGUAUUACUUUCAGGGAGCCCGAAAACCCCCAAUAAUAUUUUUUCUUUUUUCAUACUUUUUGGUCUAACUAACUCCAAAAGGUUGGAAAAGAGUUCCUACAAAAGUUUUGGACAGUGAUUUUAACCCUAAUGCCAAAAAACUUAAACCUUACCCUAGCCUUAAAAUCUAAUACCCGGGUAUUACAUUCAGGAACCCAGAAAACCCCAAAUAUUGUUUUUUCAUUUUUCAUUUUUUUUUGGUCUAACUAACUCCAAAAGGUUGGAAAAGAGUUCCUACAAAGGUUUUGGACAGUGAUUUUAACCCUAACGCCAAAAAACUUAAACCUUACCAUAGCCCCAAAACCUAAUACCCGGGUAUUACUUUCAGGGAGCCCGAAAACCCCCAAUAAUAUUUUUUUCUUUUUUCAUAUUUUUUGGUCUAACUAACUCCAAAAGGUUGGAAAAGAGUUCCUACAAAGGUUUUGGACAGUGAUUUUAACCCUAACGCCAAAAAACUUAAACCUUACCAUAGCCCCAAAACCUAAUACCCGGGUAUUACUUUCAGGGAGCCCGAAAACCCCCAAUAAUAUUUUUUUCUUUUUUCAUAUUUUUUGGUCUAACUAACUCCAAAAGGUUGGAAAAGAGUUCCUACAAAGGUUUUGGACAGUGAUUUUAACCCUAACGCCAAAAAACUUAAACCUUACCAUAGCCCCAUAACCUAAUACCCGGGUAUUACUUUUAGGAAGCCUGAACACCCCAAAUAUUUUUUUUUCAUUUUUCUUUUUUUUUUUUUGGUCUAACUAACUCCAAAAGGUUGGAAAAGAGUUCCUACAAAGGUUUUGGACAGUGAUUUUAACCCUAAUGCCAAAAAACUUAAACCUUACCCUAGCCUUAAAAUCUAAUACCCGGGUAUUACAAUCAGGAAGCCCGUAAACCCCAAAUAUUUUUUUUUUCAUUUUUCAUUUUUUUGGUCUAACUAACUCCAAAAGGUUGGAAAAGAGUUCCUACAAAGGUUUUGGACAGUGAUUUUAACCCUAACGCCAAAAACCUUAAACCUUACCAUAGCCCCAUAACCUAAUACCCGGGUAUUACUUUCAGGAAGCCUGAACACCCCAAAUAUAUUUUUUUUAAUUUUUCAUUUUUUUUGGUCUAACUAACUCCAAAAGGUUGGAAAAGAGUUCCUACAAAGGUUUUGGACAGUGAUUUUAACCCUAACGCCAAAAACCUUAAACCUUACCAUAGCCCCAUAACCUAAUACCCGGGUAUUACUUUUAGGAAGCCUGAACACCCCAAAUAUUUUUUUUUCAUUUUUCAUAUUUUUUGGUCUAACUAACUCCAAAAGGUUGGAAAAGAGUUCCUACAAAGGUUUUGGACAGUGAUUUUAACCCUAACGCCAAAAAACUUAAACCUUUCCAUAGUCCCAAAACCUAAUACCUGGGUAUUACUUUAGGAAGCCUGAACACCCCAAAUAUUUUUUUUUCAUUUUUCUUUUUUUUUUGGUCUAACUAACUCCAAAAGGUUGGAAAAGAGUUCCUACAAAGGUUUUGGACAGUGAUUUUAACCCUAACGCCAAAAAACUUAAACCUUACCCUAGCCUUAAAAUCUAAUACCCGGGUAUUACAUUCAGGAAGCCCGAACACCCCAAAUAUUUUUUUUUUCAUUUUACAUUUUUUUUGGUCUAACUAACUCCAAAAGGUUGGAAAAGAGUUCCUACAAAGGUUUUGGACAGUGAUUUUAACCCUAAUGCCAAAAAACUUAAACCUUACCCUAGCCUUAAAAUCUAAUACCCGGGUAUUACAUUCAGGAAGCCCGUAAACCCCAAAUAUUUUUUUUUCAUUUUUCAUUUUUUUUUUGGUCUAACUAACUCCAAAAGGUUGGAAAAGAGUUCCUACAAAGGUUUUGGACAGUGAUUUUAAACCUAACGCCAAAAACCUUAAACCUUACCAUAGCCCCAUAACCUAAUACCCGGGUAUUACUUUUAGGAAGCCUGAACACCCCCAAUAAUAUUUUUUUCUUUUUUCAUAUUUUUUGGUCUAACUAACUCCAAAAGGUUGGAAAAGAGUUCCUACAAAGGUUUUGGACAGUGAUUUUAACCCUAACGCCAAAAAACUUAAACCUUACCAUAGCCCCAAAACCUAAUACCCGGGUAUUACUUUCAGGGAGCCCGAAAACCCCCAAUAAUAUUUUUUUCUUUUUUCAUAUUUUUUGGUCUAACUAACUCCAAAAGGUUGGAAAAGAGUUCCUACAAAGGUUUUGGACAGUGAUUUUAACCCUAACGCCAAAAAACUUAAACCUUUCCCUGGCCUUAAAAUCUAAUACCCGGGUAUUACAUUCAGGAAGCCCGAAACCCCAAAUAUUUUUUUUCAUUUUUCAUUUUUUUUUUGGUCUAACUAACUCCAAAAGGUUGAAAAAGAGUUCCUACAAAGGUUUUGGACAGUGAUUUUAACCCUAACGCCAAAAACCUUAAACCUUACCAUAGCCCCAUGACCUAAUACCCGGGUAUUACUUUUAGGAAGCCUGAACACCCCAAAUAUAUUUUUUUUCAUUUUUCUUUUUUUUUUUGGUCUAACUAACUCCAAAAGGUUGGAAAAGAGUUCCUACAAAGGUUUUGGACAGUGAUUUUAACCCUAACGCCAAAAAACUUAAACCUUACCAUAGCCCCAAAACCUAAUACCCGGGUAUUACUUUCAGGGAGCCCGAAAACCCCCAAUAAUAUUUUUUUCUUUUUUCAUAUUUUUUGGUCUAACUAACUCCAAAAGGUUGGAAAAGAGUUCCUACAAAGGUUUUGGACAGUGAUUUUAACCCUAACGCCAAAAAACUUAAACCUUACCAUAGCCCCAAAACCUAAUACCCGGGUAUUACUUUCAGGGAGCCCGAAAACCCCCAAUAAUAUUUUUUUCUUUUUUCAUAUUUUUUGGUCUAACUAACUCCAAAAGGUUGGAAAAGAGUUCCUACAAAGGUUUUGGACAGUGAUUUUAACCCUAACGCCAAAAAACUUAAACCUUUCCCUGGCCUUAAAAUCUAAUACCCGGGUAUUACAUUCAAGAAGCCCGUAAACCCCAAAUAUAUUUUUUUUCAUUUUUCAUUUUUUUUUGGUCUUACUAAAUCCAAAAGGUUGUUAAAGAGUUCCUACAAAGGUUUUGGACAGUGAUUUUAAACGUAACGCCAAAACGUUAAACCUUACCAUAGCCCCAUAACCUAAUACCCGGGUAUUACUUUUAAGAAGCCUGAACACCCCCAAUAAUAUUUUUUUCUUUUUUCAUAUUUUUUGGUCUAACUAACUCCAAAAGGUUGGAAAAGAGUUCCUACAAAGGUUUUGGACAGUGAUUUUAACCCUAACGCCAAAAAACUUAAACCUUACCAUAGCCCCAAAACCUAAUACCCGGGUAUUACUUUCAGGGAGCCCGAAAACCCCCAAUAAUAUUUUUUUCUUUUUUCAUACUUUUUGGUCUAACUAACUCCAAAAGGUUGGAAAAGAGUUCCUACAAAAGUUUUGGACAGUGAUUUUAACCCUAAUGCCAAAAAACUUAAACCUUACCCUAGCCUUAAAAUCUAAUACCCGGGUAUUACAUUCAGGAACCCAGAAAACCCCAAAUAUUGUUUUUUCAUUUUUCAUUUUUUUUUGGUCUAACUAACUCCAAAAGGUUGGAAAAGAGUUCCUACAAAGGUUUUGGACAGUGAUUUUAACCCUAACGCCAAAAAACUUAAACCUUACCAUAGCCCCAAAACCUAAUACCCGGGUAUUACUUUCAGGGAGCCCGAAAACCCCCAAUAAUAUUUUUUUCUUUUUUCAUAUUUUUUGGUCUAACUAACUCCAAAAGGUUGGAAAAGAGUUCCUACAAAGGUUUUGGACAGUGAUUUUAACCCUAACGCCAAAAACCUUAAACCUUACCAUAGCCCCAAAACCUAAUACCCGGGUAUUACUUUCAGGAGCCCGAAAACCCCCAAAUAUUUUUUUUUCUUUUUUCAUAUUUUUUGGUCUAACUAACUCCAAAAGGUUGGAAAAGAGUUCCUACAAAGGUUUUGGACAGUGAUUUUAACCCUAACGCCAAAAAACUUAAACCUUACUAUAGCCCCAUAACCUAAUACCUGGGUAUUACUUUCAGGAAGCCUGAACACCCCAAAUAUUUUUUUUUCAUUUUUCUUUUUUUUUUGGUCUAACUAACUCCAAAAGGUUGGAAAAGAGUUCCUACAAAGGUUUUGGACAGUGAUUUUAACCCUAACGCCAAAAAACUUAAACCUUACCCUAGCCUUAAAAUCUAAUACCCGGGUAUUACAUUCAGGAAGCCCGAACACCCCAAAUAUAUUUUUUUUUCAUUUUACAUUUUUUUUGUUGUAACCAACUCCAAAAGGUUGGAAAAGAGUUCCUACAAAGGUUUUGGACAGUGAUUUUAACCCUAACGCCAAAAACCUUAAACCUUACCAUAGCCCUAUAACCUAAUACCCAGGUAUUACUUUUAGGAAGCCUGAACACCCCAAAUAUUUUUUUUUCAUUUUUCUUUUUUUUUUUUGGUCUAACUAACUCCAAAAGGUUGGAAAAGAGUUCCUACAAAGGUUUUGGACAGUGAUUUUAACCCUAACGCCAAAAAACUUAAACCUUACCCUGGCCUUAAAAUCUAAUACCCGGGUAUUACAUUCAUGAAGCCCGUAAACCCCAAAUAUUUUUUUUUUCAUUUUUCAUUUUUAUUUUGGUCUAACUAACUCCAAAAGGUUGGAAAAGAGUUCCUACAAAGGUUUUGGACAGUGAUUUUAACCCUAACGCCAAAAACCUUAAACCUUACCAUAGCCCCAUAACCUAAUACCCGGGUAUUACAUUCAGGAAGCCCGUAAACCCCAAAUAUUUUUUUUUUCAUUUUUCAUUUUUUUUUUGGUCUAACUAACUCCAAAAGGUUGAAAAAGAGUUCCUACAAAGGUUUUGGACAGUGAUUUUAACCCUAACGCCAAAAACCUUAAACCUUACCAUAGCCCCAUGAACCUAAUACCCGGGUAUUACUUUUAGGAAGCCUGAACACCCCAAAUAUUUUUUUUUCAUUUUUCUUUUUUUUUUUGGUCUAACUAACUCCAAAAGGUUGGAAAAGAGUUCCUACAAAGGUUUUGGACAGUGAUUUUAACCCUAACGCCAAAAACUUAAACCUUUCCCUGGCCUUAAAAUCUAAUACCCGGGUAUUACAUUCAGGAAGCCCGUAAACCCCAAAUAUUUUUUUUUUCACUUUUCAUUUUUUUUUUUGGUCUAACUAACUCCAAAAGGUUGGAAAAGAGUUCCUACAAAGGAUUUGGACAGUGAUUUUAACCCUAACGCCAAAAAACUUAAACCUUUCCCUGGCCUUAAAAUCUAAUACCCGGGUAUUACAUUCAGGAAGCCCGUAAACCCCAAAUAUUUUUUUUUUCAUUUUUCAUUUUUUUUUUGGUCUAACUAACUCCAAAAGGUUGGAAAAGAGUUCCUACAAAGGUUUUGGACAGUGAUUUUAACCCUAACGCCAAAAACCUUAAACCUUACCAUAGCCCCAUAACCUAAUACCCGGGUAUUACUUUUAGGAAGCCUGAACACCCCAAAUAUAUUUUUUUUAAUUUUUCUUUUUUUUUUUGGUCUAACUAAAUCCAAAAGGUUGGAAAAGAGUUCCUACAAAGGUUUUGGACAGUGAUUUUAAACCUAACGCCAAAACGUUAAACCUUACCAUAGCCCCAUAACCUAAUACCCGGGUAUUACUUUUAGGAAGCCUGAACACCCCCAAUAAUAUUUUUUUCUUUUUUUAUAUUUUUUGGUCUUACUAACUCCAAAAGGUUGGAAAAGAGUUCCUACAAAGGUUUUGGACAGUGAUUUUAACCCUAACGCCAAAAAACUUAAACCUUACCAUAGCCCCAAAACCUAAUACCCGGGUAUUACUUUCAGGGAGCCCGAAAACCCCCAAUAAUAUUUUUUUCUUUUUUCAUAUUUUUUGGUCUAACUAACUCCAAAAGGUUGGAAAAGAGUUCCUACAAAGGUUUUGGACAGUGAUUUUAACCCUAACGCCAAAAAACUUAAACCUUUCCCUAGCCUUAAAAUCUAAUACCCGGGUAUUACAUUCAGGAAGCCCGUAAACCCCAAAUAUUUUUUUUUUCAUUUUUCAUUUUUUUUUUGGUCUAACUAACUCCAAAAGGUUGGAAAAGAGUUCCUACAAAGGUUUUGGACAGUGAUUUUAACCCUAACGCCAAAAAACUUAAACCUUACCAUAGCCCCAUAACCUAAUACCCGGGUAUUACUUUUAGGAAGCCUGAACACCCCAAAUAUUUUUUUUUCAUUUUUCUUUUUUUUUUGGUCUAACUAACUCCAAAAGGUUGGAAAAGAGUUCCUACAAAGGUUUUGGACAGUGAUUUUAACCCUAAUGCCAAAAAACUUAAACCUUACCCUAGCCUUAAAAUCUAAUACCCGGGUAUUACAUUCAGGAAGCCCGAACACCCCAAAUAUUUUUUUUUUUCAUUUUACAUUUUUUUUGGUGUAACCAACUCCAAAAGGUUGGAAAAGAGUUCCUACAAAGGUUUUGGACAGUGAUUUUAACCCUAACGCCAAAAACCUUAAACCUUACCAUAGCCCUAUAACCUAAUACCCAGGUAUUACUUUUAGGAAGCCUGAACACCCCAAAUAUUUUUUUUUCAUUUUUCUUUUUUUUUUUUGGUCUAACUAACUCCAAAAGGUUGGAAAAGAGUUCCUACAAAGGUUUUGGACAGUGAUUUUAACCCUAACGCCAAAAAACUUAAACCUUACCAUAGCCCCAAAACCUAAUUCCCGGGUAUUACUUUCAGGGAGCCCGAAAACCCCCAAUAAUAUUUUUUUCUUUUUUCAUAUUUUUUGGUCUAACUAACUCCAAAAGGUUGGAAAAGAGUUCCUACAAAGGUUUUGGACAGUGAUUUUAACCCUAACGCCAAAAAACUUAAACCUUACCAUAGCCCCAAAACCUAAUACCCGGGUAUUACUUUCAGGAGCCCGAAAACCCCCAAUAAUAUUUUUUUCUUUUUUCAUACUUUUUGGUCUAACUAACUCCAAAAGGUUGGAAAAGAGUUCCUACAAAGGUUUUGGACAGUGAUUUUAACCCUAACGCCAAAAAACUUAAACCUUACCAUAGCCCCAAAACCUAAUACCCGGGUAUUACUUUCAGGGAGCCCGAAAACCCCCAAUAAUAUUUUUUCUUUUUUCAUAUUUUUUGGUCUAACUAACUCCAAAA